AACGCGAAGAACCUUACCUAGGCUCUAAUGCUAUCCGCUAUUUGCAGAAAUGCUUAGUUCCUUCGGGACGGAUAGCAAGGUGUUGCAUGGCUGUCG
rnacentral:rRNA from 1 species